AUAUAUAUAUAUAUAUAUAUAUAUAUAUAGUGUAGAGCUACUGUGCUAUUGGAAAUAUAGAGAAUUUGAUGCUUCCGAUUUUUUGAUCCUUAGAUUAAGAAUUGUACGGUUGGGAUGAUUGCAGUCCCCCCUAGGAAUGAGUAAUACUCCUAGAAUUGAGCGGUCCCCAUAGAAUAAUAGUAUUAAUCCAAAGAUUAGAAAUAAUUAAAUGGGCUAAUCUAAGAGUCAAAAAGUCGAAAGCACAAGAUCCUCUAUGUUUUCGAUGGCAUAAUAGCUCAACUAUAUAUAUAUAGAGUCCGGCUGGGAUGCUAUUUAUAGCACCAAGCGUUUGGUGCUAUCAAAUUUUCCGCCGUUAGAUUUAACUCUUUCACUAUUUUCAUCAGUUAGAUUAUACUAUUCAACUAAUAGCUUACUCAACCCUAUGGAACCCACAUCAUCCUAAUCAUAUAUUUUUUCAUCCAAGAGCCGAAAACCUAAUAGCACCAAUAGCUUGGUGCUAUUGAUAGUAUUGCAGCCUAGUUCUACAUAUAUAGAGAGAGAGAAGAUAU
rnacentral:lncRNA from 1 species